UCAAGUCAGUGAACAAAUAAGUACUGACAAUUCGUUGACUGGAGUGGAAGAUGUUAGUGUCUUGAACCAACAUGAAGCAACAAGUUAACUUAGCUGAGAAUGAUGGUAGUUUAAAAAUAAUGCAGCAUUGGCUAGGAUUGUUCCUAGGUCACAAAAACAAUCUUACAAAUAGAGUUUCUGCUGUUGUCACUGGUUUUAGAGAGUACCUUCGUGAAUGAAGAUAAAAAGUCAUUUAUGUUAUUUUUUAAAAGCCAAGACAUAAUAUUGUUAAU
rnacentral:lncRNA from 1 species